CAGAAUUAAAAAAUAGAGUGCACACCCACAAGCGAGAAACUAUAAGGAUCAAGAGAGACUUGCUGAUGGCUAGUGUUUACAUUUUCAACACACUUGGAAGGAUUUUUGAAGGAAAAUCCUGUUCAGAAUAUUUCUAUUUUAUUUGAGUAUAAAUGAUUCUGCCACCUUUUACGUUUCACUGCUGUCAUUUUGGAAAUUAUCACUUUGGAGCGUUAUUUCGGCAGUGUUUGAUCACCAAAACGACCCUUCAGUAGUGAUGUCCGAUUCUUGAAGUAACACAAAAUCAAACCGAAAUCCUGUCCGACUCCACUGAGCCGGUUCCACUGACUGUUGAAGUUUGCCGAAGGUCACAGAGGACCUGCUAUAUGUUGUGACAUUAACCGCACUGGCCGAAAAAAAAACUUACAGAUCUUUGUUUUUGAUUAUUUAAAAACAUUUGGAAACUCAGGUCUCGAGAAUUUGAAGUAGGCAUUUUACUUGAUGUUACUACUACAAAUGAAUAUAUUCGUUUUCCAGUUGUGAACUCGUUCAGGGUGUUGUGAUGGACAUUUGAAGAAAUCUGAUUUUCUUCAAUUAUGUAUCAACAACAGCAUAACAGCCUAUAACGACGAGCUUGUGUGUGUGUGUGUGUGUGUGCGUGUGUGUGUGUGUGCUACGAGGCUGAGAGCCAGUUCAAUAUUAUCCAGUUGGAGGCUACAGUGGGUGGCUCUUACUAGACUGGUUACUGAAUCGGCUUUUUUCCAUCACUACUCUUAAGAUGAAGAGCCGGCUCUCAACGUUCACUGAAAAAGACGGACUUAAAAGAUUCGAUUCAGAGAGUCGACUCAAGGAUCCAACUGCACACGGAGACAGACUUUUGACCUGGUCAGAAAAAGCGCGAAAUUAAUGUCUGUGUUUUCCAGAAAUUACCUCAGAGUGAAAGCUAAUGCUGCUACACUGGAGUGAAUAUAGUGAAGAUUACAGAGAGGACUUGUACAUAUAUGAACCCUGUAGCACAUGGAGCAAAUGAUAUGAGUAAAUAUGAGACUUUAAAAACUUAUUUUACCAGAACCUUAUUCCAGUGAUCAACAUUAUCCACUAGUGCGGACUACUUUUAUAUGCUCUUGUACAUCA